AAUGAACGUUGGCGGCGUGGAUUAGGCAUGCAAGUCGAGCGCUCAUAGCAAUAUGGGAGCGGCGAACGGCGUAGUAAUGCAUCGGAACGUACCCUUCGGUCGGGGAUAGCCACGGGAAACUGUGGGUAAUACCCGAUGAUAUCUGCGGAUCAAAGGUGAGAUUCCGCCGGAGGAGCGGCUGAUGUGAUAUUAGCUUGAUGGUGGGGUAAUGGCCUACCAUGGCGAUGAUGUCUAGGGGGUGUGAGAGCAUGGCCCCCAGACCGGAACUGAGACACUGUCCGGACACCUACGGGUGGCUGCAGUCGAGAAUCUUCCGCAAUGGACGAAAGUCUGACGGAGCGACGCCGCGUGCGGGAUGAAGGCCCUUGGGUUGUAAACCGCUGUCAGAGGGGAUGAAAUCUCCGGGGGUACUCCCCCGGAGUUGACAGAGCCUCAAAGGAAGCACGGGCUAAGUACGUG
rnacentral:rRNA from 1 species